rnacentral:lncRNA from 1 species
UGAUCUCGAACUUCUUGGCUCAAGUGAUCUGCCUGCCUUCCAAAGUGCUGGGAUUACAGGCAUGAGCCACCAAGCGCAGCCAUGAUUUAUUAGAUCACUUCUAAAAGCCCUCUCUCCAUCUCCAAGCCAGCAAGUGCUUCUUUGCACCCCAGCUCUAAAACAAAGCCCUUGGGGACACAAUCAAAGACAGUAGUUGCCAAGAGGAAUAGGGAGCAUGGAAAGAAGGUGCUGGAUGUGCAUACAGCUAACCUGGUAACUCCAAACUGGAUGAGCUCAUUCCUUGAGACUGGAAUUACAAAAUUGGAACAGCUCACUAAUAAUUGAAGAUGAUUUGGGAAAACCAUUAUCCUUCCUCAGGUUUUACAAGGUUUUUAUGACUCAUUUAUAAGGUCCUACAGCUAAAAAAAAUCAUGCUGUAUUUCAGAGAAGUUUAACUUGAAAAUAUUUUUUUCACUAAUUAAAAAUUCCCAUUAUACCUUAUAGUUGCAAUUGUAUCCUUAUUGCUGAAAGAUAUCCAUACUACCUACCACUUCUUUAAAAUUUAAAAAAUUCUAUAAAUAAAAAAUAUAACAAUUGCAAAUAUGUAAAUAACUUCCAACAUAA